GUGGGGUUGGAGAAGGGAAUGGGCCUAGUGCAUAUAGGGAAUGAUAUCUAUGCAGCUAUGGAGGUUCGCAAGUUUCACAAGAACUGAGAGAGGCACACAAGCAGAAGGUAUACUCAAGAGCUUGCAGCCAACACGCAACACCUACGUGCACUCAUACAUUAUUCUUCUCCCCCUGCUCGCACCAUCCAUUAUCCAAUUGUUAGCAAGUGAAAAGGGCAGGCCAGUUUAGAGGGGGCAGAGGGUCCCAAAUUGCCGGUGGGCCCCAGAAGUCUGGAUGCAAAGGCUGCCACUCGUACGGGAGCAGAGGAAGGAAGGGCUUGCGCUUCGUGUGCGCGCGCUGCAGUGAACCUCUCAGAGGAGCCUAGGAGGUGUGUGCGUGUCUUUUUUGUGAAAUUAAGGCAAGCGUUUCCUUGGAUAUCCCUGCUUUGAAUUUGUGCCUGUACUGAGAUGAUUAUGUCAUGGCUUGGCAGAAUUGUUUUCUCCACUCAAUCCUCUCCUCUUUUCACUCAUUGCUCCUGUCAGCUUCCUUACAGAUCUCUCUCUCUUUUCACUUAUAAAUACUGACUUGUUCCCUCCCUCCACUUCAACUUGUUCCACAGGGUGAGCAACUCCUUGUUGGAGAAGCAGGGCACGUGCAAGUGCAAUUCUCUCGGUUGAGGCUCUCAAAUACCUCUUUGCACGUGUUCUCCUUCUCCAACACGGGUUCCUCCCCUCGCCUCUUCUGCCACUCCCUCGCUUCUCUGGGGUUGGGGGGCGGUGGUGUGGACCAUUUUUCGCAGUUUGAAGCGGAGCGAAGGUUACUCUGUUAUCCGUGGGAGCGCGGCUUGUGGACUCGGAGUCGUCUCAGUUCUUGAAUUUUGAACUGCAAGUUAAAUGGGAUAAUGUAACCACGGCACCAGACAGAGAGCAGGAGCGCAGAGGAGGAGGGCCGCUGGAGUGUGACGCAAGCAAAUCUCAAAUGAGCUAAGCGAUACUUGGAGUGUGUGAUAGUAUGAUAUUGGAAGCAUUAAAAACCAUCGUAGCACUUCCCUUGUGGUGCUAUUUGGCAGGACAUUUUUCUUGAGCUGGACAACAUCGUCAGAACUCAGAAGUCAGAAGGUUCCGUGAGCACGGUUCCCCAUGGAAUUAGAAGAUUUUGCUGUGUCGGUCUUUUCAUUUUCGAAAGAAAAUGACACAGACACGAGUCAGAAGUUGUGGCCGCCGGAGUGCAGUGCAUCUUUUGUCUCGAUCGUUCAUGGUUCAUUUUUGUUUCUUCUCUUCAAAUGCUUAAGCAUGCCAUGUCUUGUACAAUUAAGUAAAGUUUAGAGCUUAAGGCAAGAAAA